rnacentral:tRNA from 1 species
AAAGGGAGACCUAAUUCAGGUAAAAGACGAAAAAAAAGUAGUCGCUACCAAGAAUCAAUCCCAAAAGGUCGGAGCGAGGCGAAAUUGGCUUUCAAACUAGGUUCUGGGUUCAAACAAGACCUGAAUCAGGAACAAGGGCUAUUAGCUCAGGUGGUUAGAGCGCACCCCUGAUAAGGGUGAGGUCCCUGGUUCGAGUCCAGGAUGGCCCACCUGCACAGGUGGCAAAAACAAGAGAAGCGAGGAAUCAGCACCUUAUCUUACUUAUAUAGUAAGAGAGAAUGCUGGCUCUGAGUAAAGAGUCCAGAGGAACCCUGAAAACUGCAUAGAGCUAGGUGAAAAAGCCAAAAAAGAAGACCGCAAG